UUUAUUAAAAAAAUAUAUUUAAUCAUUGUUUUUAUUAUAUUCAAUAAUUUAUAUAAGGUUAUUAAUUUCUUAAAAUAAAAAAAGUUAACCUUUCUCCAUCAAUUUAUUUAAGGUUUUGAAAUUCUGAAACUAAAAAAAUUCACCAUUCUAAUAAUUGUCAUGCUGAAAUUUUUAUGUAGAUGGAUAAAAAAUGUCCGCAGUAAACACCUUUCCUUCAAAAAUAGCGACACUCACCACGUGAUAUCCAAGUGAAUUCAUGCAACAAAAAGGUAAUAAAGGCUUUCAAAGAAAAACCAAAAACAAUUUCCUGAUAAAUGUUCUAGAACUAGUAAAGAAUGCUUGAGAAUACAACAAGGGCACAAACCAUGGUUGCGGUCAAAACAUACAACAAAUACCAAAAAGGUAGCACGAGCAUUCGCUGAAGAACAAAUACAUCAACAUUUCGCUAGAUUAAAUAUUUUUCAGAUUUAAUUUUGAGGCAACACUAAGAUAUUUCUACCAUCAUAUAUAGAAAAUUAAAAACUAGUCUCCAAUAUUCAACCUUCUUCAAACUUUUCAUCUUGUUCUUCAAUCAGUUCUUUGUCUUCCACAACUUUAGCUUCUGUAAUUACUCCUCAUCUUAAUGAUGUUUCUCUCAAAUCUCCGCCAUAUAAGAAUUUCUUAUACGACUGUGGAUCUGAACCUAUGAAGUUGCGAAUCCAUAUUUGACUCUUCUUGUUUUGAUAUGUGUUUUUUCAGGAUUUUUUUGAGUUUGUGAAGAUGAAGAUGAUGAAAUUGUUUAUGGAUUAGUGGAGAUGAUAAAUGAAAGUUUGUGGGAUUCUUAAAGAUGAAGGUAAACUUGGAGACGUAAAGGAAGAAGAUUUUUUUUUAUUUUAAAUUUUCAGAAUUUAAUAACCUUAGGGUGUGUUUGUUUCAAGGUUUUAAAAAAUAUUCCUGGGAAUAUUGUCAUGGGAAUGCAACAUUCCCAUGUUUGAUUCAAUUUUUUAAAAAUUAUUUCAAGGUAUAUUUUAUUCCCAGGAACUUUAUUUUCACAUGGUUCUUUUAUUUUUAUUCCAAGGUUUAAAGGGUGGGAAUCCAACAUUCCCAUAGGAAUAAAAUUCAAAUAACUACAACUCCCCACUACUACUCACAUUUAUUUAUUUAUUUUAUUUUUUAUAAUUUUAAAAUUAAAUAAAUAUUAUAAACAUUCCUAGGAAAUUUAGUUUUUACCAAACACUUGGAUAGGAAUAUUAUUCCAAGUAAUAAUAAUGAUGGAAAUAAGAUUCCAAGGAAUGUUACUUCUAAACUUGAAACAAACACACCCUUAUAUAAAUUGAUAAAUAUAAAAAUCAAUUAUUAAAUAUAUUUUUAAAUAAAAUAAUAGUUUAAUAUAAAAAAAAGUCAGAUUUGUUGAUAUGGCACCUCAGUCGAAGUGUCACGUCAUAAAUGAAGAGGACACAUAUGUAAAACUACAGGGGAGCCAUAAAAAUUCCAAGGCUGAUAAAAUUAAUGGACCAAAAAGUUGGGUUGUGUAAUAGGAGAAUCAAAAGUUUAAAAUCUCCAAAUAGGGGGUCAAAAGUACAUUUAAGCCUAAAUUUUACUAUGUUCUUCAAUGUAAUACCACUAAGAAAAUGUGGGAUACUCUUGAGAUGAUAUAUGAAAUUUCUCCAAGUAUCGAACAAGAGAAGAUGAAUACACGAGGCGAAGAAGAUGAAAAUACCACUUCUAGUUAUUUUUCAAUGUUUAGAAAUAUUAGGAAUUAUAUUAAAACUUUUGUCACUAACCAAUGUCUAAGAAUUAAGAAUUAGAAAUAUAAUCCAACUCUUAAAUCAAAAGAUGGGGCCUUCAUGAAUUUCGGGAAAAAUCAAGACCUAGUUCAAUUACUCAAAGAUGAAUAAGUAAAAUAUGAAGACUCAUAACCCCAUCUUACUCCUAUCAUAUGACUCUGGUAGCAUCCUUCAAAAGAACAUACUUAUUAGUUGAACGCUCUUUAGAAGAUUCAACAUCAUAUGAAGAAAGGUCCUUCUCAAGAAAUAGAAAAGAAGAAGAAGUUUCUUCAAUAUUCGAACAAACAAGAGGAGGAGAUACAUCAAACUCGGGGAGAAAUGUAAAAGAAUCUUCUUCUAACGAAGAAGAUUAAAGUUGCUUGAAGGCAUCCUACGAGGAAGAUACUAUAAAGGUAACAAAACCUUCUCAUGAACAAUAUUUUAGAACGAGUGCUCAAUUAGUUAAAGAAAAUGACAAACAUAGGGAGUGCAAAUUAGGUCUUAAAGAAAGGACUCUAAUGGACACAAUGAAAGAUGAAAGAUUAGUCAACAAAUCACUUAUCUUGGAUGCUACAAUUAUGAUUAUUGGAAGGAAAUGAUGGUGGUCUUUCUCAAAUUCAUGGGCAACAAAGCAUGGAAAUUUGUGACAAAAGGAUGGAAACAUCUAAUGAUCACUUCUGAAAAUGGAAUUAUAAGCUUAAAACCAUAAGUUGAAUGGACUGAUGUUCAAGAUGAGGAAGCUCUAGUUUAGGCUCAUAGUUCAUGUUGAAAAUGGACUACGAGCAUCAACUAGAGUUUCAAAUAUAAACAACAUGUUAACAUAAACUAGAGUUCCAUUUUUUAGCAUGAACUAUGAGCAUAAACUAGAGUUUCAAAUACAAACAACAAGUUAACAUAAACUAGAGUUUCAAAUAUAAACAUCAUGUUAACAUAAACUAGAGUUCCAUUUUCAGCAUGAACCACGAGAAUAAACUAGAGUUUCAAAUAUAAACUACAAGUAUGACAUUAACCUGAUUUGGAACGAGAGACGAAUUAGCCUAAUUUGAAAACAUAAACUAGCAUGACAUUAACAACAUGUUAACAUUUACAAAAACUCAAGUAAUAUCUAACACAAUAAUGUCCCUAUUGAACUAGUGUCUUAAAUAUAAUAAAGCUGACCUAGACACAAAUUAAGUUUUUAAGAAGAACACGAAAAUAUAGAUCAUUUCUUGGGGCAUAUAUGGUAAUAGAGAUUUUUAGAUUUUUAAGAAGAAUUAGUUCCAUACAUGGAACAAAUGUGAUAACGGUGAUCCAUUUAAAAAAAAUAGAGAUUCAAGUAGAGAUAACCCAAAAAACACGAAAAUCAUGCCAAAUGAAAAUCAUGCAAAUGAAAAUGUUAAACCCUAAACCAUAAGUUUUAUGCCAAAUAAAAACAAGAAAGUCAUGCCAAAUGAAAGCGUAUGAAAAAAAAAUGAAAGGUACACACAAAAAUGGAACAAAUCGUAUGAAUAACAUGGAAGAAAGUUUAUGAAGAAGAAGAAUGAUAAAGCAUAUGAACUUGAUUACCUUUUAGUAUGAAGAAGCUUAUGAAGACGAGUUCACUGCAUGUGAAAGAGAAAGAGAGGGAGAGAUGUUAGGGUUUUGUUUUGAGAGAAAUAAUUAUUUUGUGUCAAAGCUUGAUAACUUCGCUUAUAUAUAUGUAAAACUUAUCACCAUAGUUGUUAACAAAAAUCGUGAUAAAAUGUAAGUAUUUUUCACAACGGUUUUCGGUACUAACUAUUGAAAUAUUAGAUAUAAUCAAAGUUGACUUGUGUAGCUCAAGUCCAAAACUAAUUAGGAUUUAGGGUUUGUUACUUAGUUAGUUGUUUUACUUAGUAGUCAAAUCACUUAGGUGUAUAUGAAUAGACACUUUGUAGUUCAGUUUUAUUAUUUAUUCAAUUCAAUAAUACAAUCCUUAUUUUCUUAUUCUCUCUUUCUCUUCUCACUAAAAAUGUAUCACUCACACUAAAUGUGGUAAUAAAUAUUUUAAUUUUAAUAUAUUUAUAAAAGUAUCAUUACAAGUCAUUUUUGUAACGAAAAAGAAUAAAAAAAUUGUUGAUAUUGAGAUUCGAAGUAAAUAAUCUUUCAUCUAUCACCAUAAUUAUUAUUUUAUCCUAUGAUUAAAUUUCUUUUAAUGAAAUAAUUAAAAAUUCAGGCGUGCAAACAUAAAUCAUUAUUACGGUAGUUUAAAUUUCCGUAAUAAUAUAAUAUUACCAAAAAUUUAUUUUAUAGUGGUGAGCACCAUGAUCACCCAAAAGACUCCAUUAAUUACAAGGAAAAGAAAAUAUAUUAUUAAUCUUUUGCGAUUUUAUCUUUCAUAUCAUGAAAAGGUUAUAGAAUUGAUGAAAAUUUAAUAGUACAUUUUUUAUGAUUAGAGAAUUUUUUAUGUGGCUUUCUUAUUAAAAAUGCUAAAGGGAUAAGCGUAACUCAUUGAUAUAUUUAAGGAACAUUCUAAAAUGAAUAUAAUAUUGGAAGGUUUGUCUCAAACAAGUGCUAUAAACUUUUAAAUUUACUUAAGGAGGAAUUGAGCUUUAUAAAUUAUAUAGUGGUGGAAAUAUGACUAUAAUUAUCAAGUUUUUAAGUUUUUUAAUUAUCUUUCUAUUCCUAUCUAUUGUUUUAAUAAAGUUUGAAGGUAAGCCAUUUUUAUCCUUUUCAAGUUUUCUUCUUUAUUUCUCAAAGAUUUUCUUACUGUUUUAUUACAUUGUUUUAUCACCUUUUCUCAUCACAGCAUUUAGGCAUCAAUGUUUGGAGCAUUCACAUUGUUACAGAGUUUUGUGCCGACGUCCCGCAAUACCUAAGUGCGAUUUUCGCAGAGGACUUUGUAAAUGUGUUUAGUCAUUCUUGAGCUCUCAUUAAUUCAAUAAUCUAGUUGUGGAUGUUGGUUAUGAUGUGAGGUGAAAAUGUUUAUAGCUAGCUUAAGUUGAAAUAUAAUUUCUAUCUUGCUUCUAAGUUCUAACGCUAUAAUUUUAUAUUUAUAUAAUAGAAGUUCUAACCCUAUAAUUUUAUAUUUAUAUCAUUAUACCAUUACCCUUAUAACUUA
rnacentral:lncRNA from 1 species